rnacentral:lncRNA from 1 species
CUUGAACUCCUGACCUCAGGUGACCCGCCCACCUUGUACUCCCAAAGUGCUGGGAUUACAGGCGUGAGCCACCGCGCCUGGGCUGGAAUGAUGUCUUAAAAAGAUCUAUAAGCUCCAACACCCCGAAGUGGGACUCGUGGGAGAGAUUGAAUCAGUAACAGGAAGAAAGAGAGAAUAUCUUCUUUGUGCAUCUGAGCGUCCUGUGGGUAAAUUGCUCUUGUUAUGUCACUUCAUCAACAUAAAAAUGUUGCAUCAUCAUUGUCACCAAAAAGUCUUCAUCCAAGAGUGCCUCCAGCUCUGGGGUCACUCAGGAGCUAAGCCAGGUGUGUGCCCCUUUUGGUUCAGGAAGCUGCCCCUUUGCCCUCAGGCAGGAACCAGGAAGCACGGUCUUCCAAUCUGG